rnacentral:rRNA from 1 species
UACAAGUCCGCCUUGUGCGGCAAC